AGUCCAAUGGUGUAAUGGUAGCACUACAGUUUUUGGUACUGUCUGUGGAGGUUCGAAUCCUUCUUGGACUA
rnacentral:tRNA from 1 species